rnacentral:lncRNA from 1 species
UGUCGUCUUUAACCAUGAAUCAAUGUAGAGGCUAAUAAUACAACUUCUGUUGACUCUAAACCUGUUAAUUGCUUGAAAUGUAAACUUAACUGCAAGAGUAGGUCAGUACAGUGUAUGCAUGGUCACUGGGUACAUUACUCUUGUGAAAAACUAUCGCUCACUAAAAUUCAAAACCUACCAAAUAUUGACUAUUGUUUGAAAACAUGUAGCAAGCAACCUAUAGCUGUACCGUAUGAUAUCACUGUUGUUAUUAAAAGAGGAGACGAUAGAUGAUGAACAAUGUUUAAUGUGUAAUGAUGGAAUGACUGAUGACUAACAAGCUUGUCCACCAUAUUUCUCAUAACAAGUGCUUAAAAAUUACUUAUGAUCAAUGUUACAGCUGCCGUGAAAUAGAACAACGAACUCUUACUGAGAAUCAAACACCAGUAGAAAAUAAUAUACAGAUCGAAGAAGUUACUGACCACCAAACGGAUAUAAUUCAUGUAGACACAACAACCAUCAUGGCAAGCAAAAACAACUUCUGCAGUGGCUACAACAGACUAAUACAGACCAUGAAUACACCACGAACAGUCAUAUCAGAGAAAGAAAGUAUGCUACACCAAUAUUAACCAACAAACAAGAACAACAGACUACGAAAAAAGAAUUAAAGCAACAAGAAUUUAAACUGAAAAAAAACGAGAGGAACAACCACGUUUAAAAUCUAAAGACAAACCUAGACUGUACGACAUGAUAUAUAAAAUUGAAGCAAGAAAUAAUGAGCUUAAUAAAAUAAUCCAGUCCCAAUAUGACAAGAUGAAUCAUAAAGACAACACAAUGAAUAGAAACAACGAAAUGCAGGAGAGAAGUAGGUCAGACUCAAAUUCAACAAGUAGCAACAACGUGAACGAUAGUUUAACCAAUGCUAUAAAUAAAAAAGGUCUCGGGUUAUAUAUUAAGAAAAAAAGGUUGACAAAGAAAUAGAACAUAUUAUAAGACUAGAAGAAAAUGUAAACAAUACGGAAUUGGUUAUAAUUUGAUGCCUAUGUUUAUAUCAAAUUAUUUAAAGUGCUGGAGGCGAUCAAACUAGUGACUUUAUGAAUUGAAUGAAUACAUAUACAACUAUCAGACAUAACAUAUUAUUUGAUAUCUUUAAUUUAAUAGUUGUACACAUUUUACAUGAGGC